UAUAUUUUCAAACUGUGUGUGCCAGAGAUCAACAUACUGUUCUGACAUGUUAUAAACUCUAAGUGCUUCCUUUUGGCUUUGGAAAGCAUUAAAAUUGCCUACCUGUGUAAUAAACAAUUCCCGUGGAGAACAGCCUCAUCUUGGAGAGGCUCCAGAGAAGAGCGCAGGUGAUGAGCCUCUGGCCGUGGGCUUCCUCGCGAUCUCCACUGCCAUCUGCCUUCGGCCUGGGGGCCGUUCCUCGUGCACACGGCCUGAGCCGCAGUGCAGCGCCCACCUCCAUUGCCGGCUUUAGUCACUGUAAGUGGUCUCCGACAAGAUCAAAGUCAUCCAAGAUGCCAGCCAGCACUUAGGCAAAGCAUGUGUGUGCCGCUGCCUUCAGAUGAUCCCUAUUGUCUGGACCAAGUUCUCAAAGACACAGGAUGAGAGGACUCCAUUCGUUAGAUGAAUAUUCAUGACUAACCAUCCCGGUAUUAGCAGGCCCACUCCUAACUUGUGUGGGGCCUGGCCAAGAAUACAAAUUGAGGUUUACAUACCAGCUGAAUGCUUACAG